GACGGACGGACGGACGCCAGGCUCCGGAGACUCGCCCCAAACGAAACAAGAGGCUGCGCCGCGCGGCACGAGCUGCAUUCGGGGGCGGCAAACGAAACCGCCAACAACGGCGUCUCCCUUCGGGAGAACAAGCUCCCCGAUUACAGAGUUGCCAAGGGAGUUGGCCAAAUGUGGACCCUUGAAGAACGUGAGCCCCUUUGAAGAGUUUUGGAAGCUGAUUCAGGAAGAAGCUUGUGGAACAGAAAUCCAACAAAAGCUCCAGAAUAUAAAAUUUAAAAUGUCUACUCCUAGACCCUGGGCUGCUCCUAAGACAAGAAAAACCAGGCGGAUGGUCAACGCCAGUCAGAGGGAAGAGCUCACACAUGAUCGUGGGGGCCCUUCAGGAUAUAUCCAGAGGAAGCUGCAGACCAGAGUCUCUUCCCUGGAAUCAACUGUUUGUCCACCUCAAACGCAGGAGGGAUCUCAGCAGCCCUUUCCCAGGGGUUUUCUUCCUCGGCUCACCGAAUGGAGAGGAACGUGGGAGCAGCAAGAUGCCACGGAGAGGGGAGCCCGAGGCCAGGACAAGAACAAGAUUAUUUGUAAACCAGACGAGAAGGAUCCCCGAAGUGAAGCAUACCUUCGCCGCUUGCAUCAGAUGUAUUCUGCUUCCCUUGCUAACAUGGACUUCUCCAGGAGCCUUUUCACAGGUCCACGAAAGAACUGUCACUCUCCAAUGUGUUGCAGAUGAUUUCCCAGUAAAAGAAGCGUCAUAAAGGCUAAUCAAUAAGAAAGAAACCGACAUAGUGUAGAUCUACACAGUAAACCACAGUAGGUCCUGUCCUUUGAGAUUGUCAGGGACUGUAGGGAGUAGCCAUGGAGGAGAGGGAUCAUUAUCUUUGAGGGUUAUGUAAUAAUUCCCUCAGAACUGGAACUUGUUAAAACGUCUUAUUCACACAAACUUAAAAUCUGUGUUGCUCCUGCCAAGCCCAAGUACGUCAGCAGAACAGAGCUAACCUCACCCACGCACCAAAGGAACACGAGAGUGCGUGGCUGGGUGAGCGAUGUGCCCCACACUAGGCACCGGAUAGGUGCGAAGUCAGAAUGUGAGCAAUCGCAUGAUUGGUGGAUCAGGCAAACACGAAACCAAAUAUUUAAAAAAAUACUGUAAGAAUGGCAAAAGAGAGACCGAAGAGAGAAGUCUUUAAAACCUCUACAUCAUCUGCCCCGAUUCGGCACCUCCCCGGGCUCUGUGUUCCAACACUGAGGGCUUUCCCAGGCACGGAGCAGAUGCCCUGCACUCAGCCCCUCGUCCACUGUUACAAGCUGGAUUACCUGAUCCCAAGUGGACACGGGCUGCGUGGAGUGCGGCCAGGGCCCAGGGGCAGGAGGACAGGGGACGUGGGGCCACCUGGACAGCAUGGCCCACCGCCCACAGCACUGCCCACCCUCCGCUUCCUGAAAGGCGACAGCCCAGCUGGUAAAACAGAAGAUCCCAAUCGGAAAACCAGAGGACACCGAGCAGCCCGGUGUGGCAUGAUUAAGCUUCCAGAACACAAAAGGGGUGAGCCUGCUCCUCCCAGGAUGACCACAGUACCUCUGACUUGAACAAGUGAUUCAAACUCACCACGUUGUGGAGGUCAGGACAGCAAGACGAUAUUGGACCAACUAUGUGGACCAGGAAUGAGACUAGCAUCUUGCCAUGAUGGAAAGGAUGAAGAAAUGUUGAAAUUCUCAAAGAAACAAUUAAAUGGCAGAUUUCUGUUUCUUUCAUUCAAAGUUAUGAUAGGCAACAAUAGCAUCAUCAACUAAAUCAUAUAUUCAUUAUAAAUGUGACAUUGUUCAUACAGAAACCCAGAACCAUGAAUGAGAACAAAUAGAAAAAAGAGUCAGCAGAAUAUGACUCACAGAGGGUCGAGAUAAUAGAAAUGAAAAGAUGAAGAAAAUACCUAAGUAUGAUUUAUAUGUCUAAAUUUUAGGAAGAAUUUUUAAAUUAUGAGUAAGCAUUAGGAGACUCUUAAAAUAAAUCAAAAGUGUUUGAAAAAGAAUGAAAUAGAGCCUUUAGAGUGGAAAAUUAAUAAAUAUAAAAAUAAUGAAGGGGUUAAAGAAUAGGUUCGACAUGCCUGAAGAUAGUGAACUAUAUAGAUCAAGAUGGAUUAUCCAAAAUACAGCACAGAAACAAAGCAAUGGAAUAUAUAACAGAGGGGUCAAAGGAAACAGAAGCUCUAGUAAGAAAAUCCAACAUAUGUUUAAUUAUAGCUCCAGCAGGAAUAAUUGAGAGAAUGGGGAAGAAGCAUAUAUCAAUGAAGAAAUUUUAAAAUUCCAGAAUAGAUGAAAGAAACCAAUCCUUAGAUUUAGGGAUCCCAAGGAAUCAUAAGAGCAAUACAUAAAAAGAACAGCGAAUGUAAAAUGAAGUUCUUUAAAGACGCCAGGGAGAAAAUACGGAUCAUUACAAAGGAAUAACAAUUAGAAAAACAGAUGACAUCUCAAUAGUAACAUUGAAUAAAUUCUUGUAAAUUAUUUUAGUGAGAAGAAAUAGAAAAUUUAAAUAGUCCUAGUUAUUGAAUACAUAAUUUCCAAAACCUUCUAACAAAGAAAAUGAGAAAACUCUAGGCCUCUAUGAUUUCCCUGGUGAAUUCUCCAAAUACUUAAGUAAGGAAUAAUGCCACCAUUCAUAUGUGAGCUCUCCAGAAAAUGAGAAAGGAAGGCACAUCUCUCAACUCUUUUUGUGAACCCAGCAUAACCUAGGAGGCUGUUCUCAUUCAAGAAUGUAGCUGUAAAAGUCCUAAGCAAAAUCUUAACAAAUUAACCCCAGUAAUAUAGAGUUCAUUUCAAUAACUUCUGCUCUAAUAAAAAAUUAUUGCAAUUGAUGAGUAAAAAGGAAAUUACUCAAUUUGUUAGUGUACCUAAAAAUGUAUUUAUAAAAAAAUGUACUUAAUGGUGAAAUAUUGAAUCCUUUCUGAAGUUGGGAGCAAUUGAAGGAUGCCUGUUCUUUUCAUUUCUAUUCAAGACUCUUCUGGAAGUUUGGCCAGUAUUAUAAGCAAGAAAAAAAAAAAAAAGGAAGCUACAACAUUUACAAAAGAUAUAAAACUAUUUUUUGUAAUAGAAAAAUCCCAAAGAACAUAGCAAGGCCAGAAGGUAUCAUACGUUUCUGGAAAAUGGUUAACUUUAAAAGGGAGAGAGGGGCUCUUGAUGGGGAAGGGAACUUGGAUGCUGGAAAUGGGCUGUUUCUUGCCCUGGGUGGUGGUUACUAAGUGUUUGCUUUAUAAUGAGAUUCUGUAUGAGAUUUAUGUGAAAUUUUAUAAUGGGAUAAGUGUCUACAUAAAAAUUAUAAAAAAUUUUAUAAAAUAGUUUUUUAAAAAUUACAUUUAUGGUAACAAUCAAAAUUAUCUAUGAGUUAAUUUGUAAAAAAAUGUGUAAGCCCUUUAUGAAAAAAAAUCAUAAAACAUCGAGAGACAUUAAAAAAGACCUGUGCUCUUGAAUAGAAAUACCACAUAUUUAAAUGGUGUGAGUUCUCCUCAAUCUGAUUUUUAGAUUUAAUGCAAUUUCAGUAAUUUUUCAUGGAAUUUGAUGAACUAAUUCUGCAGUUAUCAUAGAGGAGCUACUGGCUGGAACAGGUAGGACACACUGGGAACAGAAGGUGGUAAGGUGGGGCUUGUUCUACAAGAUCUCAGGCCCUGAUUUACUAUAGCAAUUUAAACGGCACUUUUUUGGUUCAAGGGUGGAUAAAAGCAUCCAUGAAUUAGAAUAGGGAGAGCCUAGCAUAAAAAAUCAGACUCCAAAAUCAGAUGCAUAGUGGAAGCUGCAUAGCAGAUUUGUUGCUGAUCUUUGGUGAGACAGUGGAUGAUUUAGCAAACGGUGCUUGGACGAUUGGUUUUCCCCAUUGAG